GGUUAGCUCAGCAGGUUAGAGCACCGGACAAGGAAUCCGGCUGUCACGGGUUCGAUUCCCGUACCAA
rnacentral:tRNA from 1 species